GAGAAAUCUGUAAAUUAAUAACUGUGGAGCUGAUGUGAUCUCUACCCAGAAACCAUGCUGAACAUUCAUGAAGCUUUAUAGGAGCUCUACAAAAUGUAUUACUCUGGAUGAAUUCCAUUGGUGCUACCCAAAUGACCAGGAAUUGGGUGAAGCCUCCUCUGAAAGCCAAGCAAAGAUAAACGUGCUUCUUCUUUGUGAGUCUUAUUUUACAAGAAGUCACUGUGUACAGGAGAUGAUGUAAGAACAGUUUCAACCACAGCAGGUGUUUAGAAGUUCAUCCCAGAAGAAGCAAUGAAUGAGGCUGAGAGGGAAAAACAACUGAUCCAAAGAUCCGGGGAAUGGCAGAAGUCUGUGAAUUGAAUAUAUUUUUCUGUCGCUGCACCUGGCAUGAAUAGAAAGGGCAAUAAGAGAAUCCAAUUAAUAAAACAUCUCCGAUUCAAUGAA